rnacentral:misc_RNA from 1 species
CAACCCUCAAGCCCCCAGCGGCUUGGUGUUGGGGACCGGCGACCUCGCCCGCACCCCGGUGCAGGCGCCCGCCGCCCCCGAAAUGAAUUGGCGGUCUCGCCGCGGCCUCCCCUGCGUAGUAGCACAACCUCGCAACGGGAGCGCGGCGCGGCCACCGCCGUAAAACGCCCAACUUUUUCAG